rnacentral:misc_RNA from 1 species
GAUGAAGAACGUAGCGAAAUGCGAUAAGUAAUGUGAAUUGCAGAAUUCAGUGAAUCAUCGAAUCUUUGAACGCACAUUGCGCCCGCCAGCAUUCUGGCGGGCAUGCCUGUUCGAGCGUCAUUUCAGCCCUCGAGCCCCCCCGGGGGCCUCGGUGUUGGGGGACGGCACACCAGCCGCCCCCGAAAUGCAGUGGCGACCCCGCCGCAGCCUCCCCUGCGUAGUAGCACACACCUCGCACCGGAGCGCGGAGGCGGUCACGCCGUAAAACGCCCAACUUUCUUAGAGUUGACCUCGGAUCAGGUAGGAAUACCCGCUGAACUUAAGCAUAUCAAUAAGCGGAGGA